AAAAUGAGUGAGCAACGACGUUGGGGCCGGCUCAGUGUUUACUCAUGUUUGUGUGUUUGACCAUGUGAAGACGACUUUCAAUGGCGAAAUGUCGGCUCAAGCGACCCUUUUCCUCUAUCCCAAGGAGCCAAGAAGGACCAGCGAAGCUUCCGAAAAUCAGUUAACUUCUAUAUAAUCCGAUUCCAUAAUCGCAAAAGCCAGAAUCAAGUCUCAAUCCCCAGCGCAGCUCUAUCUGUUGGGAAUUUCUCUAUAUCCUUCACUCGGCAACGAGGAGAUUUUACACCGAGCCGUGAUUUCGUGCAUCUGGUGAAGUCAUGGCAGAAGUGCUUAUAGAACGUGUACUUGACGAACUGUUGAGCAAGGUUUUCGAAGCGAAGGCCAGGGCAAUUCAGUUCAGACCCACCCUCGAACGCCUAGCUGCCACCCUCGAGUCAAUAAAACCAGUGAUCGAACAGAUAAAUCUAUACAACAGGCAACUAGAUCGCUCGGGGCAAGAAAUAGACAAGUUAAUUAAAGAUAUGAAGAAUGGCGAGAAGCUUGUUCUCAAGUGCUCAAAAAUCCAGUGGUGGGAAUGCUGUUAUAAGCCUCAAUACCAGGAACAACUUGAAGAUUUGGAUCAGUCACUUGUCAGGUUCUUUCAAGUUGAUAUGCAAGUUCAGACGGCGAGGGAUGCGAUGGAGACGCUGAUAGAGGUGAGAGGUAUUCGUGUGGAAAUGAAGAAACUGAAUGCGGUUGCGAGAAAUGAAAGGGGUCAAUGCUCGGCUCCUGAACCCCCAGCAUUCACUGUUGGAUUGGAUGUUCAUGUUGGGGAAUUGAAGUUGCGGCUGCUCCGAGAUGAUGUGUCAGUGAUGGUGAUCACUGGCUUGGCAGGUUCCGGGAAGACCGCUUUGGCCAAAAAAUUCUGUUGGGAUGUUGAUGUCAGAGGUAAAUUCAAGGACAAUAUCUUCUUCGUCAAAUUCUCGGAGACGCCAAACUUGAACCUUAUUGUACGGAAGCUUUAUCAACACAAUGGUCGCCCAGUGCCCGAGCCUCAAAAUGAUGAAGACGCGAUUGACCAAUUGAAACUUUUGCUAAAACAAAUUGGGGAAAAUCCUACACUGUUGGUUCUGGACGAUGUUGGGGAUCGAUCAGAAUCUCUUGUUGAUAAUUUCGUCAUGCAGCUGAGAGACUAUAAGAUUUUAGUGACUUCCAGAUUUGCAAUUCGAAGAUUCGGCACUUUACAUUCCUUGAAACCCCUUGGUAAUGAGGAUGCUAUGAAGCUUUUCCGCCACUCAGCAGAACUGAAGGAGAGCAGCCUUGAUAUUCCUGAUCAUAUUGUGAGAGAGAUAGUCCGAGGCUGCAGUGGUUCUCCGAUGGUACUAAAUGCGAUUGGCAGGUCACUCUGUGGGCAGCAUUCUGCGGUAUGGCAAAGCAGGGCAAAGGAAUUGUCAAAGGGUCGUCCGAUUUUUGAAUCAAAUGAGGAUCUGCUUGAUUCUCUCCUAAAAAGCUUCGAUGUCUCGGUUCCUAAGUCAGUAAUUAAGGAGCGUUUCAUGGACCUAGGUUUAUUUCCUGAAGACCAGAAGAUUCCUGCAGCUUCUCUUGUUGAUAUGUGGGUGGAACUGCAUGGAGAAGAUGACGUAAAUGCAAUGGAGAAAAUUUAUGAACUGGCCACCCGUAACGUGCUUGAUAUUGUUAUACGCAGGUCCUUAUUGUUGAGCAGGAAAUUUGCAAGUGGCACAGGUAACUUAAAUAGCUACUUUGUCAUGCGACAUGAUCUUUUUCAAGAGCUAGCUAUCCAUCAAAGGAAAAUUAGCCAGGAACCACUGGAAAAGAGGAAAAGGCUGAUUAUUAACAUAACUGGAAACGAUCUUCCCCAGUGGUGGACUGAACAGAAAGAGCAUCAUAUAGCUGCCCAUGUAUUAUCUAUAUCAACUGAUGAAUUAUUCUCUUCUAAUUGGUGCAACUUGAUACCAACUGAAGUUGAGGUUCUAGUUUUGAACCUUCGAGGAAAGAAGUACACCAUACCAAAGUUCAUAGAGAAAAUGGGUAAACUAAAAGUUAUGUUAAUCACAAAUUAUGGCUUCCACCCCGCUGCUGAGCUAGAGGGUUUAGAACUACUUAAUUUGUUGUAUGAUCUUAAAAGAAUUAGGCUGGAGCGUGUUUCAAUUCCUUCACUCAUUGAGAAAAGAGUGCAGUUGAAGAAUCUUCAGAAACUAUCUCUAUUUAUGUGCAAUGUAAAUGAAGCUUUUAAAAAUUGUUCCAUCCAAGUUUCAGAUAUGAUGCCAAACUUGGUGGAGUUAAACAUUGACUACUGCAAUAUGGUGGAAUUGCCAGUUGGGCUGUGUGGUAUUGUCUUCUUGAAGAAGUUGAGUAUUACAAGUUGCCACAAGCUUUCUGCACUUCCUGAUGAAAUUGGAAAGUUGGCCAAUUUGGAAUUGCUAAGGCUUAGCUCUUGUUCUGAUUUGGCGGAGUUUCCAGACUCAGUUACUAAUCUUCAAAAGCUAAAACUUCUUGAUAUCUCUUACUGUGUAAGCCUUAUUAAAUUGCCAGAUCAUAUGGGUGAAUUGCUUAAUUUAGAAGAGCUCCACAUCACAUGUUGCUCGAGAUUAUGUGACAAGUUGCCACCCACAAUCAUUAACCUUACGGGCCUAAGAGUUGUGGUGUGUGAUGAAGAGAUGGCUACUUUAUGGGAACCUUGCAAAACCGUCCUUACUGAUCUGCAUGUAGAGGUGACCCAAGCUGAUAUUGGCCUAGAAUGGCUUUGAAGUUUCAUUUCCAACACGUGCGUUGUGGCUGGUGGCAACACGCUGGAGUGGAAAUAAAUAUAUGGGAAGAAAAUGAGAAGCAGAGCAGCACACAUUUCUUGCAACGCUAAGGCAAUUUCCCUUUGAUCGUUUCUAACGGGCAGAUGGAAGAAAGACCAUGAAAAGUAUCUCCUUGGUUCGUUUUGCACGGUCUCUUUAUUUAAUUCGGGUUCUCUUUUUGCCAUUCAGAACACGGAAGUUUUUAUCAGGAUAAUGACAUUCGAGGUUUCUCAAGAGAAUUUAUUGUAACAAGGGUUUAUCAAUUUUACAACGGAUAUUUUCUUGUUAAGACUUAUAUAUAUUAUUGUUAAAGUUAAACUUUAACAUAUAAUUUUUGUUAAGAUUUUUUUUAAAAUUUAAUAAGUUAAAUUCAACUUUUAAUAAGAUAUAUAUUUUUUCAUAAGACAAUAUAGAAAGGCCUUAAAUUUCGCUUUUUCUUUCUUCU